CCCCACAGACAUAGGACGGAGCAGCAGUGGCAACCCUGGAGGCAGCAAGGACAGCAACCGGGACACCAGCCGAGGCAAGCAGAGCCAGUGAUUACCCCCCCACAAGAGAAUAUUUCAGAGCAGGAGAUUUUAGAGACCGUCAAGAGUUUUAAAACAGAAGGACCUGGCCUGGAGCUGCGCACACGAGUGUCUUCCAUGCCGGGCAUUCCAGCACCGAAGAGGAUUAUCCAACUCUGCAACCUGCCCGAGGGAGGGAUGCCGACAAGAGGAGACCGUGCACCAUCUAAUAUGGACUUGUUUUUACUCGCAGAAAAUAUGGACAAAGAUACUCCCUCUGGUAAAAAGGAUAACUGGACUAAAAGACUUAAAUAUUGCAGUGGUUUUUUAUGGUUGCCUGGAAUGCCCAAC